rnacentral:rRNA from 1 species
CGUAACACGUAUGUAACCUACCCUUACCAGGGGGAUAGCCUCUCGAAAGAGAGAUUAAGACCGCAUAACAUCACGAUUCAGCAUUGGAAUGUGAUCAAAUAUUUAUAGGGUAAGGAUGGGCAUGCGGAACAUUAGCUAGUUGGCGGGGUAACGGCCCACCAAGGCUACGAUGUUUAGGGGAUCUGAGAGGAUGGCCCCCCACACUGGUACUGAGACACGGACCAG